rnacentral:rRNA from 1 species
UACGGGGGGGGGGUAAGCGUUGUUCGGAAUUACUGGGCGUAAAGGGCUCGUAGGCGCCAACUAAGUCAGACGUGAAAUCCCUCAGCUUAACUGGGGAACUGCGUCUGAUACUGGAUGGCUUGGAUUCGGGAGAGGAAUGCGGAAUUCCAGGUGUAGCGGUGAAAUGCGUAGAUAUCUGGAGGAACACCGGUGGCGAAGGCGGCAUUCUGGACCGACAUUGACGCUGAGGAGCGAAAGCCAGGGGAGCAAACGGG